AACGAACGCUGGCGGCAGGCUUAACACAUGCAAGUCGAACGGAUCCUUCGGGAUUAGUGGCAGACGGGUGAGUAACGCGUGGGAACGUACCCUUUGCUACGGAAUAACUCAGGGACACUUGAGCUAAUACCGUAUGUGCCCUACGGGGGAAAGAUUUAUCGGCAAAGGAUCGGCCCGCGUUGGAUUAGCUAGUUGGUGGGGUAAUGGCCUACCAAGGCGACGAUCCAUAGCUGGUCUGAGAGGAUGAUCAGCCACACUGGGACUGAGACACGGCCCAGACUCCUACGGGAGGCAGCAGUGGGGAAUAUUGGACAAUGGGCGCAAGCCUGAUCCAGCCAUGCCGCGUGAGUGAUGAAGGUCUUAGGAUUGUAAAGCUCUUUCACCGGUGAAGAUAAUGACGGUAGCCGGAGAAGAAGCCCCGGCUAACUUCGUG
rnacentral:rRNA from 1 species